UACGGAGGGUGCGAGCGUUUAUCCGGAUUCACUGGGUUUAAAGGGUGCGUAGGUGGGAAUGUAAGUCAGUGGUGAAAUCUCUGAGCUUAACUCAGAAACUGCCAUUGAUACUAUGUUUCUUGAAUUUUCUGGAGGUCAGCGGAAUAUGUCAUGUAGCGGUGAAAUGCUUAGAUAUGACAUAGAACACCAAUUGCGAAGGCAGCUGGCUACAGGGAUAUUGACACUGAGGCACGAAAGCGUGGGGAUCAAACAGG
rnacentral:rRNA from 1 species